rnacentral:misc_RNA from 1 species
UCUCCGUAGGUGAACCUGCGGAGGGAUCAUUACCAGAGAUGGCGGGCCCCCGCGCCCCCGUCCCCAACCCUUUGUUGACCAAACCCUUUUGCCUCGGGGGCAGAGCGUCCGCCGCCGCCCCCGGAGGACCAUCAAACGCUGUCUCUUUGCGUCGGAGUAAUUGAUUAAAUGAAUGAAAACUUUCAACAACGGAUCUCUUGGUUCUGGCAUCGAUGAAGAACGCAGC